GCCGGAGGGAGUAUAAAAUAUAAUGGAUGUACUCGACUAAUCAAAAUGUAACCACCGUCAGUGUGAUUCGUGUAAAAAGGACAAGUGCUGGCAGAUUAACCCUACCAAUUUAUACCAUUAAGCUCGAAACUUUUUUUUUCGUUUUGUUUUGGGUCCGACGACUUGCAAGUUGCAACACAAGAGAGGAACAAGUAGCACAUUGCAGCAGUACUGCUAGUAUUAGCUACGGCAAGUGAGGAGAAUCAAAUGAUUUUUGUGAGACCAAUUGGAAAUUGCCUUGUAUUUGGAAUCUUCCCGGCAGACAGAUUUUAAUAUGUAAUAGAGUAAGAUCGAAGAGCGUAAUGGAAGGAAAAGAAGUACGCUAGUAGUUCUGUAGAAGCUAAUAACUAAAUCUGUCACUAUAAAAAUAUUUCAGAAACGCAUCAUGCAGGCGUCGUUCAAAAGAUGCGUUCGAUCAGUUCACUUGCAUGCAUGCAUGUGCCGAUAAAUUAAUGGAGUCUUGGCCCUUGACUCCACAAGUCUCGAUCAACGGAACUGUGUUCGUGCUAGAGUCAAACUGCUCAGAUCAAAUAAACUCACGCGG
rnacentral:lncRNA from 1 species